rnacentral:rRNA from 1 species
CGGUGUUUAACUGGCGUGAUGUGGGACGUCCUACCGGUGGGCUUAGCCUCGCGAGGGGCGGCCCAACUAAUAUCCCGUCGCGGUGCUCUUUACUGAGUGUCGAGUCGGGCCGGUACGUUUACUUUGAACAAAUUAGAGUGCUUAAAGCAGGCUAUCCUCGCCUGAAUACUGCGUGCAUGGAAUAAUGGAAUAGGACCUCGGUUCUAUUUUGUUGGUUUUCGGAACCCCGAGGUAAUGAUUAAUAGGGACAGAUGGGGGCAUUCGUAUUGCGACGUUAGAGGUGAAAUUCUUGGAUCGUCGCAAGACGGACAGAAGCGAAAGCAUUUGCCAAAAAUGUUUUCAUUAAUCAAGAACGAAAGUUAGAGGUUCGAAGGCGAUCAGAUACCGCCCUAGUUCUAACCAUAAACGAUGCCAGCUAGCGAUCCGCCGAAGUUCCUUCGAUGACUCGGCGGGCAGCUUCCGGGAAACCAAAGCUUUUGGGUUCCGGGGGAAGUAUGGUUGCAAAGCUGAAACUUAAAGGAAUUGACGGAAGGGCACCACCAGGAGUGGAGCCUGCGGCUUAAUUUGACUCAACACGGGAAACCUCACCAGGCCCAGACACCGGAAGGAUUGACAGAUUGAUAGCUCUUUCUUGAUUCGGUGGGUGGUGGUGCAUGGCCGUUCUUAGUUGGUGGAGCGAUUUGUCUGGUUAAUUCCGAUAACGAACGAGACUCUAGCCUGCUAAAUAGGCGUACCUUAUGGUAUCGCGAAGGCCCCCGGCUUCGGCCGGUGGGUUUUUACUACCAACGUACAAACAAAUCUUCUUAGAGGGACAGGCGG